GAUGAACGCUAGCGGCAGGCCUAACACAUGCAAGUCGAGGGGCAGCACGUCUUCGGAUGGUGGCGACCGGCGCACGGGUGCGUAACGCGUAUGCAACCUACCUCUUACAGUGGGAUAGCCCAGAGAAAUUUGGAUUAAUACCCGCAUAGUAUACAGAUUCAGCAUUGGGACUGUAUUAAACAUUUAUGGGUAAGAGAUGGGCAUGCGUUCUAUUAGUUAGUUGGAGUGGUAACGGCACCCCAAGACAGCGAUAGAUAGGGGCCCUGAGAGGGGGAUCCCCCGACACUGGUACUGAGACACGGACCAGACUCCUACCGGGAGGCCAGCAGUGAGGAUAUUGGACAAUGGGCGAGAGCCUGAUCCAGCCAUGCCGCGUGCAGGAAGACGGCCCUAUGGGUU
rnacentral:rRNA from 1 species